rnacentral:rRNA from 1 species
CACGAAAAGAGCAAGCGUUGUUCGGAUUCAUUAGGCGUAAAGAGCUCGUAGGUGGCUCUGUAAGUCGGAGGUGAAAGCCCACGGCUCAACCGUAGAAACGCCUUCGAAACUGUGGAGCUUGAGGCUGGGAGAGAAAAUCGGAAUUCCUGGUGUAGCGGUGAAAUGCGUAGAUAUCAGGAGGAACACCAGUGGCGAAGGCGGAUUUCUGGACCAGUUCUAACACUGAGGAGCGAAAGCCAGGGGAGCAAACAGG